rnacentral:tRNA from 1 species
AAGGAUUUAAGUUAAAUAAACUAAUAACCUUCAAAGUUAUAAAUAAAAAUAAUAUUUUUUAAACCUUA